rnacentral:rRNA from 1 species
GACGUAGGGGGCGAGCGUUGUCCGGAUUUAUUGGGCGUAAAGAGCUCGUAGGCGGCUCGUUGCGUCGGCUGUGAAAACCCGCAGCUCAACUGUGGGCUUGCAGCCGAUACGGGCGGGCUGGAGUUCGGUAGGGGAGACUGGAAUUCCUGGUGUAGCGGUGAAAUGCGCAGAUAUCAGGAGGAACACCGGUGGCGAAGGCGGAUCUCUGGGCCGUAACUGACGCUGAGGAGCGAAAGCGUGGGGAGCGAACAGG